GACGAACGCUGGCGGCGUGCUUAACACAUGCAAGUCGAGCGGAAAGGCCCUUUCGGGGGUACUCGAGCGGCGAACGGGUGAGUAACACGUGAGUAAUCUGCCUCUGGCUUCGGGAUAGCCACCGGAAACGGUGAUUAAUACCGGAUAUGACGCAUCACUGCAUGGUGUGUGCGUGGAAAGUUUUUUCGGCCAGGGAUGUGCUCGCGGCCUAUCAGCUUGUUGGUGGGGUAAUGGCCUACCAAGGCUUCGACGGGUAGCCGGCCUGAGAGGGUGACCGGCCACACUGGGACUGAGACACGGCCCAGACUCCUACGGGAGGCAGCAGUGGGGAAUAUUGGACAAUGGGCGGAAGCCUGAUCCAGCAACGCCGCGUGAGGGAUGACGGCCUUCGGGUUGUAAGCCUCUUUCAGCACAGACGAAGCGCAAGUGACGGUAUGUGCAGAAGAAGGACCGGCCAACUACGUGCCAGCCGCCGCGGUAACAC
rnacentral:rRNA from 1 species